UGCACUUAUUUAGCGUCUUUUAUGUUGCAUUUUCAUGUAAAUAACUUAUAUUUCGGAAUAAAGCCUCUUUAAGCAAAAAUGUAUAGAGACCUUAUAAACACCCUCUAUUUAUAUCCAUAUAUACAACCACUCUCUGACCCGCCUCGGUAAGCUCAGUGCUUUUAUUCUUUAUAUGUUGGUAAAUUGUGCAUUUUUUGCUUUAGAAGUGAAUUGGCCGAUUGGUGAUUGAACGAGCUCUUCCCGGCUACAUAUCUUUCAAGAGUCUGUCUUAUCAACUGUCGAUUACGCGCCUACAACGGUUGUGAAGAGUGACUGGGAAUCAGGGUUCGGAUCCGCAGAGGAAGUCUGAAAAACGGCUAUCACAUCCAAGGAAGGCAGCAGACAGCAAAUUACCCACUCAAAGAACGGGGAGAUUACGAAAAAUAACAAUACGAGACUCUUUUGAGACCCCGUAAAUGGAUUAAGUACGCUUUAAAUCCUUUUGAGGAUCAAUUGGAGGGAAAGUCUGGUGCCAGCAGCCACGGUAAUUCCAGCUCCAAUAGCGUA
rnacentral:ncRNA from 1 species